rnacentral:tRNA from 1 species
AGGGYUUAGYUUAAUUAAAGCGGSUGAUUUGCAUUCAAUUGAUGUAAGAUAUAGUCUUGCAAUCCUUA